CCUGGUUGAUCCUGCCAGUAGCAUAUGCUUGUCUCAAAGAUUAAGCCAUGCAUGUCUAAGUACAAGCCGCUAGUCGGCGAAACCGCGAAUGGCUCAAUAAAUCAGUUAUGGUUCCUUAGAUCUUUCCAUCCUACUUGGAUAACUGUGGUAAUUCUAGAGCUAAUACAUGCACUACAAGCCCCGACUCGCCGGCAUCAAAACCGGCCGUAGAAGGGGUGCUUUUAUUAGAUCAAAACCAAUCGGGCCCUUCGCGGGGCCCGUUCCAUUUGGUGACUCUGAAUAACUUUCGCUGAUCGCACGGCCUUCGCGCCGGCGACGCAUCUUUCAAAUGUCUGCCUUAUCAACUUUCGAUGGUAGGUUAUGCGCCUACCAUGGUUGCAACGGGUAACGGGGAAUCGGGGUUCGAUUCCGGAGANGGAGCCUGAGAAACGGCUACCACAUCCAAGGAAGGCAGCAGGCGCGCAAAUUACCCACUCCCGGCACGGGGAAGUAGUGACGAAAAAUAACGAUACGGGACUCUUCCGAGGCCCCGUGAUUGGAAUGAGUACACUUUAAAUCCUUUAACGAGGACCUAUUGGAGGGCAAGUCUGGUGCCAGCAGCCGCGGUAACUCCAGCUCCAAUAGCGUAUAUUAAAGUUGUUGCGGUUAAAAAGCUCGUAGUUGGAUUCCUGUCUUCGGCCGGGCGGUGCCGCCUGAUAAUCAAGGGCGAUCGCACUGCCUUGGGAGCGUUGGUGUCAAAGCCGCGCUCUUUUAACGGUCGGACAAUACCACCGGAGUGGCGGGUGAUAGGUCGUCUCCUCUCGCGGGGAGGCGGUCGAAGAACCGCACGUAAUCGUCCGAGGUGCCUUUAACCGGGUGUCUCGGGCGGCCGGUAACGUUUACUUUGAACAAAUUAGAGUGCUCAAAGCAGGUGCAUACCUUCGCCUGAAUAUCACAGCAUGGAAUGAUGGAAUAGGACCUCGGUCUUAUUUUGUUGGUUUUCUCUAGACCCGAGGUAAUGGUUAAUAGAGACAGACGGGGGCAUUCGUACUGCGACGCUAGAGGUGAAAUUCUUGGACCGUCGCAAGACGAACGACUGCGAAAGCAUUUGCCAAGAAUGUUUUCAUUAAUCAAGAACGAAAGUUAGAGGUUCGAAGGCGAUCAGAUACCGCCCUAGUUCUAACCAUAAACGAUGCCAACCAGCGAUCCGCCGAAGUUACUCCCAUGACUCGGCGGGCAGCUUCCGGGAAACCAAAGUCUUUGGGUUCCGGGGGAAGUAUGGUUGCAAAGCUGAAACUUAAAGGAAUUGACGGAAGGGCACCACCAGGAGUGGAGCCUGCGGCUUAAUUUGACUCAACACGGGAAACCUCACCAGGCCCGGACACUGGAAGGAUUGACAGAUUGAGAGCUCUUUCUUGAUUCGGUGGGUGGUGGUGCAUGGCCGUUCUUAGUUGGUGGAGCGAUUUGUCUGGUUAAUUCCGAUAACGAACGAGACUCUAGCCUGCUAAAUAGGUGGCGGGUUUUAUUAAAAAAUUUGGGUUCGGAGUUCGCCGGGACCAGGGUGUUGUGUCGGUGGGCCGUGUCACGGGGUCUCGGGAGACGGGGGGUGUUUGAAUGGGAUGCUUGGCGGCUUUCGGGCCGUCGUGUGUCUUUAAUUCGGACCUCACAUCCGGGCCUUUGAUUCGGUGGCGCGGUCGGUCGGUCGGCGCUCCCCGGCGGUUCGCUUCGUUCUCGCGUCCGUCACAACUCUUCUUAGAGGGACAAGCGGCGUCCAGCCGCGUGACAGUGAGCAAUAACAGGUCUGUGAUGCCCUUAGAUGUCCUGGGCCGCACGCGCGCUACACUGAAGGAAUCAGCGUGUUUUUCUCCCCCUGUCCGAAAGGACCGGGUAACCGCUGAACCUCCUUCGUGGUUGGGAUUGGGGACUGCAAUGAUCCCCAUGAACCAGGAAUCCCUAGUAGGCGCGAGUCACUAGCUCGCGUCGAUUACGUCCCUGCCCUUUGUACACACCGCCCGUCGCUACUACCGAUUGAAUGAUUUAGUGAGGCCUUCGGACGGGCUCGUCGGGGGUUCGGGUCGUCGGGGAGCAAUCUCCGGCUUCUCGGCUCUAAUAACGGCGAGACUGAAAGAUGUCCGAACUUGAUCCUUUAGAGGAAGUAAAAGUCGUAACAAGGUUUCCGUAGGUGAACCUGCGGAAGGAUCAUUA
rnacentral:rRNA from 1 species